rnacentral:rRNA from 1 species
UACCAGCACCCCGAGUGGUCGGGACGUUUAUUGGGCCUAAAGCAUCCGUAGCCGGUUCUACAAGUCUUCCGUUAAAUCCAACUGCUUAACAGGUGGGCUGCGGAAGAUACUAUAGAGCUAGGAGGCGGGAGAGGCAAGCGGUACUCGAUGGGUAGGGGUAAAAUCCGUUGAUCCAUUGAAGAACACCGGUGGCGAAGGCGGCUCUCUGGACCGAUACUGACGCUGAGGCGCGAAAGCGUGGGGAGCAAACAGG